rnacentral:rRNA from 1 species
AUACGGAGGGUGCAAGCGUUGCUCGGAAUCACUGGGCGUAAAGCGCGCGCAGGCGGGCUGAUAAGUUGGAUGUGAAAGCCUACGGCUCAACCGUAGAACUGCAUCCAAAACUGUCAGUCUAGAGUGUGGGAGAGGAAGAUGGAAUUAGUUGUGUAGGGGUAAAAUCCGUAGAGAUAACUAGGAAUACCAAAAGCGAAGGCAAUCUUCUGGAACACUACUGACGCUGAGGCGCGAAGGCGUGGGGAGCAAACAGGAUUAGAAACCCCAGUAGUCC